AACGCGAAGAACCUUACCUGGGCUCGAACGGCUUAAGAAAAUCCUUGGAAACAGGGACUUCCCGCAAGGGACUUGAGUCGAGGUGCUGCAUGGCUGUCGUCAGCUCGUGUCGUGAGAUGUUGGGUUAAGUCCCGCAACGAGCGCAACCCUUGUCCUGUGUUGCCACUCCCGUAAGGGAAGCACUCUCAGGAGACCGCCAGCGAUAAGCUGGAGGAAGGUGGGGAUGAUGUCAAGUCAUCAUGGCCUUUAUGUCCAGGGCUACACACGUGCUACAAUGGGCGGUACAAAGCGCUGCAAACCCGCGAGGGGGAGCUAAUCGCAAAAAACCGUUCUCAGUUCGGAUCGCAGGCUGCAACUCGCCUGCGUGAAGCUGGAAUCGCUAGUAAUGGCGUAUCAGAAUGAUGCCGUGAAUACGUUCCCGGGCCUUGUA
rnacentral:rRNA from 1 species